AGCUCCAAUAGCGUAUAUUAAAGUUGUUGCGGUUAAAAAGCUCGUAGUUGGAUCUCGGCAGGCGAGGGGCGGUGCGCUGUUAGCGGCACUGCCCCGCUCGCCCGUGUUGUGUGGCGGAGGCCGCGGGGUGCUCUUCGCCGGGUGUCCCGUGGCGCCGUCAGGUUUACUUUGAAAAAAUUAGAGUGCUCAAAGCAGGCUCGGUCGGCUUGAAUAUUCGUGCAUGGAAUAAUGGAAUAGGACGUCGUUCCUAUUUUGUUGGUUUUCGGGAAUCGACGUAAUGAUUGACAGGGACAGCCGGGGGCAUUAGUAUUCGGACGACAGAGGUGAAAUUCUUGGACCGUCUGAAGACUGACGACUGCGAAAGCAUUUGCCAAGAGUGUUUUCAUUAAUCAAGAACGAA
rnacentral:rRNA from 1 species